AAUCUCUCUCUCUCUCUCUGUACUAAUACAGAGGAAAGCCGUGUGAGGACAGAGCCAGAAGACAGCCACCUGCUGGGAGGAGAGUCUCACCAGAAACUGAAUCUUCCAGCACCUUGAUGCAGGACCUCUAGCUUCUAAAACUAUAGCUCAAGGGAUUUCUGGAGUUGGAGUAAAAGAAGACAUGCUCAAAUCCAUCAUCCCUGAUAAAGAUGUCCAACAUUACAGUAAAGAAAAGAGAUUCUGACAAAGUCCCAGUAACAGCCCUAACUUAGGGGAUUCUCAGACCUGCCUUUUGGGAUACUUGCAGAUAAAAGGGCACCAGCCAUUCUGAUGCAAAGAACAAACAAGGAAGUGUUGGGGGACUAAAGCAGUAAGGUGACCCUUGACAAAUGGGGGAGGAGAACUGGCAGGUGAUCUCACUUGACAGUUCCAGUAGAAUGUUCCGCAGACAUCUCCGACUUCGCAGGCACGCGCCAGGAAUCUACCCGCUUACCAAGCAGAGUCAGCAAGACAGAAACAACAGCUUCAAGGAAUAAAAAUAUCUUCAUUCCUCUACCUUAGCAAGUGUUUUAUAAUUGCAGUGAGCACCGAGAAUCUUGGGGGGCCACUACACCCAAAUGUCUUGGUAAUAAAUAUAGGUCUGUGCCUGUGUCUGUAGUAUACCAGGGACCCAGGAGACAAAUAAGGUUGAAUUCCUCACGUGAGUGUGUUUUACGAGUGUUUUUCUGAGGAUCAUAGUAGAGGCAUUUAUGGCCACAGAAAAAGAGACUUUUCAGGAGUCAUUUCAUGGGGUGAGAGACACCAAAGUGGUUAUAAAAAGUAAGGCACCUCUGCACAGUACACCUUUUGGAAAGCAAGGCUGCUGAGGACUUGGCAUCACUGCCCCUC